UCUUGACUAGCAUAUCGGUUCAGUACACCCGCUUGUCAUAACCAGGUAGGGACAAAGUUACGCGGGAGAGCAGGGUUCGACUCCCUGGUCGAGAG